rnacentral:rRNA from 1 species
CGGCGCAUUGCGUACCAGCGGGCGGGGUGAGACGUCGGGGGCGAGCGGUGGCCGGAGUUAGUGAGCGUAAAGGGGUCGUAGGCGGUUGUGCGCGUCGGGAGUGACAACAGCGGGCUUAACUCGUUGCUUGCUGCCGAUACGGGCAGACUAGAGGUAUGCAGGGGAGAAUGGAAUGCCUGGUGUAGCGGUGAAAUGCGCAGAUAUCAGGAGGAACACCGGUGGCGAAGGCGGUUCUCUGGGCAUUACCUGACGCUGAGGAGCGAAAGUGUGGGGAGCGAACAGGAUUAGAUACCCCAGAGUC